UCGGGAAUUCUGGGAAGCGUAGUCUAGGUGGGUUCGGCGGCGGAGCCACUUCCGCCCCAGGUAUGCGAGGCAGAGGCCUGCGCUUCUCGCAGAAAGGUGAGCCUCCCCCUCGGCGCAUUUGCUUCCUGCGACCGUACAGAUCGUUCUUCCUUUCUCCGGGGCCGGUGCCCACCGGACGAGGGACCUAGGGGAAGAGAAUACGCCUGCUGGGAAAGGUGGGGUUUGUGGUCCCUUUGAAUGGACUUUCACAGUGUGGGGCGGCUGGUGCAACCCCUUGCUUCCGCCGGGGCAGGGAUGGAGGAUCUCCUGGGCUCUGUAUUCCCCCAACUCUACCUGACCAUAGCCAGCUCUGCCAUUUCCCAAAAGGAUACUAUUCGACUUUUGUUCUUCUUUAAAAUGGUGUAAGUACCUAAGUAUUUACUGCAAAAAGCAUUGAACCCAGGGCCUUUGCACUGAGCUACAGCCCAACCAUACUCUCCUCGCUACAUUGCACAGGCCUGGCUCUAGCAUGAUUCUCCUGCCUCAGCCUUCCAGAGUGCAGGGAAUACAGACGUGCACCACCAUGCCUGACUCCCAAGUGAUUUUGAGAACAGGUCUCUGCUUUUCCCUAGAAAAAGGAGGAGAAAAUGACCAAAUUCCAGGUAAGUUGGCUUUCGUUUCUGCCAUUUCUCUCUCAUUUCUCAGAGGGCCGACUCACCCCCUACCCCUCUCCACUCCUAGCCGAGAUGAACAAUGGCCGCAUUCUGUUCACACUAUUUACUGUCAGGCUCUUGUCUUCUGUUUUUGCCCUUUAAUUUUUUUCUUCAGUUUUUGUUUGUUUGCUUGUUUGUUUCGAGACAGGAUUGUACUGUGUUGUUCUCCUCGAACCAAGGUGAUCUAUGGGAGGGCAAUCGAUCCUCUGACUGGAAAGGGGGACAGCGAGGGCUAAAGAAAAACGGGCAAUAGAGACUUGCAUAAUUUCUAAGUGUGCGAGGCGCCGGGAGGUCAGUGCCUCAUGAGGUGGGCAGAGACAAGGACUCUGACCUUGCUGCUUUUUGUUGGGUUCGUGGGAGUCUCAGCCGACCGAGGGCGGCACUGAACCUGUGAGGAUGAGGAUCUUAGGUCAGUGAGGAGCUCAAGUUGACGAGGAUGGUGAGAUGAGCAAAGGAAACAGCAGUGGGCGAGAGGAGUUAAGCUGAUAAGGAAUUCGCCCUCCCAGGUUCUCAACCAGGACGUCUUCACCGAUGGACUCUUGCCCUUGCGUGUCACAGUGUCCAGACACCCUGAGGCCUCAGCUGUGACCAGAGGCAAAACAGAGUUGUUUCCACCCGCCAUAGCCAGCCCGCAGGCCUCAGACAGCCCUAAGCAUAACUGCGAAAUGAUUUUCCCCCCAGAUUAUGUAGAAUGGCUCUCGACAGUGAACCACUUGCCUCAGCUUCCCAUGUGCUGGGAUUAACGGGUGCAUUACCACACCUGGCUUCUUAGUUUUGCUUUGUUUUGUUUUUGUUUUUUAACAUCACAACAUUGUCAUGUGAAUUUUUUACAAUGCAAAAAAAUACAGAAAUGCAAUACAUAGAUACAGCUAAAUUCAGAAUGGUAACUUUUUCUCCUCAGGAGGAGAAAUUUCUAGCAAAGUAAAAGACUGAAUAGGUAGAAAUAGGUUGGUCAUUAGCUUCAUGAUUUGCCUAGAAAUGAUCUAUAAAUGCUUUUCGCCCCUGCUACUUAGCAUCGAGUGUAAAAGGGGAGUUAAAGGAAAGUUUCCUUGUUGGUUUCUACCGUAUGAAAGAUGCCAUAUUCUAUUUUAGCAGGCCCAGUAUGUGGAAAAUAUCUCAAUUAAAUGUUAUCACAAAAAUGAGGCAGUAAUGAGAUUCUGGCUAAAGAGGGCACUAAAUGAGAAUAAUAUAUACUUAAAGAAUUCCAAACAAACAAAACGCUGUUAUAAAAAAGCUCUAGGUGCACUGUAAGCAUAUAGGUUUUUUUCCCAUGUGUAUUUUUAAACAAUGGAAGUUACCAAAAGAUAGGGUCAACUGUGUUAGACUAAAUCACGUUAUUGUAUAGGCUGCAUUGAAUGGAACCUCUGUAUUAUAAUUAUAGAGAAGCACAGUUUGUAUCAUAUGGCAAUUUGUCCUCAAUGAAAGCCUUCCAGAGUCCUUUUAUUUUGGAAUAUCCUGUAAACAAACCACCAGAACAUGAUUGUACAACAGUAAAAUGUUCUCUUGCAUUAAAUUGAAGACAUCUGUUUAAUAAUAAAAAAAAGAAAAGAAAAUGUAGGAAGGUACUUAGAGCUGUUAUUUUCUAAGGACACAAAACCCUAGACAAUUAGACAAU
ensembl:lincRNA